ACUUUUAAUUUAUACAGUAGAGGUUGGUAUUAGACUUCAAGGAUGUGAAAUAAGAUAUAAGCUAAUUAGGAUAGUUAUGCACAUAUAUAACACACUUAUAAUCCACUUCCUGUCUCUUGAGACAAGGGUUCCUCACAGGAAGAGGAACUAUGCUACUGUAGAGUUCUCUGCCGAGCACAACAGAACAGAACAGAACAGAAGAGAAUAGAACAGAACAGAACAGAAGAGAACAGAACAGAACAGAACAGAACAGAACAGAACAGAACAGAACAGAACAGAACAGAACAGAACAGAAGUGUGUCACUGCUAGAGAGGGUUCAGGGAUCACUAAGGAUGUUGGUUACUCAAGUAGAGAGAUAGAAGUGGCUGUCAGGCAGGGGCAUGCAGGGAUACACUCUUCCUCUAGCUCAAUCCAUGGAAGGGCUUGCUCCAUGCUUCCAGCCAAGAAUGUGAGGAGGAACUAGAAGCCACCUCUCCAGGACUGGAGAAGAUAGAGACCCAGAUUCGAGGUGGUUCAGCUGGCCUCCUUGCCUUGGCUCUGGUUUGGUUGGAAGUCAAACCAGUUUCAGGAGCAAUGUGACUACAAACCCUACAAGAGUUGAAAAACUGGAAAUGAUAUUGAUGCAGAAAAAAAUACGGAUCUUCCACAAAAAUGGUUCUUCCUCUGCAACAGUCAUCAGGCUUCUCCUCACUCUUCCUGAGAGAGAGAGAGAGAGAGUGUGUGUGUGUGUGUGUGUGUAUGAAUGUGUCUGAGUAUAAGUGUGUGCAUGUAUGUGUGUGUGUGUGUGUGUGUGUGUGUGUGUGUUCAUAUCUGUAGAUAUGUGCUUCGUGUAGCCUUGGCGGAUAAGUUUCUUUAGUAGUGGGUAGUAGUUAAUGCAGAAACUCAUUACUAUUCAAAGUUCUGAGGAUCAGUGACUGCGUGCUCAGCCAUGGAUUUGAUAUCAUAUCAUUAUCAACCCUGUGCCCUGCAAGACUCAGACAACAUGGUAGAAAAAAAUAAGAUUGUAAGAAUUAGAGUUCUGAGAAGGGGUCUUAUAAAUGCUGUCUCCUGGACAUGACAUAACUCUUGCACAUAUAAACUCAUAGCAGCUAUGGUUACGUGUACAAAGUCAAGCAAGAUCAAGCAAUUCAAAGGUUCCUGCAACGGUAUGGGAGGGGCUACUGGGGCCCCUUUCACAGCUGGGAAGCUAUUAAUAGUUGAUCACUUCGAAAGGAGGGAAAUUCAUGUUUCUUUGUGAGUGUAGCCACUGGUAGCCUCUAUGUGCUCCAGUGGAUGACCCCAUGGCUAUGAACAUAUGGGCAGUGAUAACUGGACUCAGUGAGUUUAAAAAGUAAUAUUAAAAAGGAAAACAUGAUGUUAAGUCAGAGAUGUGAUAGUGGCUUCCUGAAGGGAGCGUGAAGUGGGGGUCUGUAUGGAGGGAUGGAUAUGAUCAAGAUUCAUUAUGUACAUGUAUGAAACUUUCAAGGAAUUUUAAGAAACUAAAAAAAAUUAUAGUAAAGGAAGUAAUUGCCUUGCUUGUUGAUUAUUUCAAAGCCAUUCACUUCUUUCAUUGUUCAGGGAAGGAGACUUUUUAAAAAGGCACUAGGAAAGUUGAAAUGGGUGUAUUUGUAAAAGGUGGGGUUUUAAGGGAUAGUCUAAUCCUCAACUGAUUUGUUCAAAGUAAAAUAUUUUAAUUGUGAAGUCACGUGUGCUUUCUACAAUGUCCUCAAUUGACGGGAAUGCUGAACACAGACCUUAUCAAGAUGAGGUUGGUGGACAGAGAGAAUCUUUUUCCUUGUUCUCAAAUCUGAAGCUCUCUCUGCAGAGAAAAGGUCCUGAUGGCAUUUUAAACGUUUCUCAAAUGUCUCUCCUAAUGGUACAAAAUAACUUCUAAGAUAUGAUAUAGUACUUAUUUAAAUAUGUGAUUUAGUAGUCUUCCUAUGGCUUGAAAGCAUUCUGUAAUUCAAUAAGACACUAUUAAAGUAUAGUAGUCCCCCUUAGAAGGAACAGCGAGUGACACAGUGAAACUAAAAGAAGCUAUGAACCAAAUGGCUUUAACAAAUAUCUAUAGAACAUUUCAUCCUAAAACAAAAGAAUAUACCUUCUUCUCAGCACCUCAUGGUACCUUCUCCAAAACUGACCAUAUAAUUGGUCACAAAAUAGUCCUCAACAGAUACAAGAAGAUUGAAAUAAUCCCCUGCAUCCUAACAUAACCGUGGACUAAGGCUGGUCUUCAAUAACAACAAAAACAACAGAAAGCCCAGAUACACAUGGAAGUUGAACAACAGUCUACUCCAUGAUAACUUGGUCGAGGAAGAAAUAAAAAAGGAAAUAAAAUACUUUUUAGAAUUUAAUGAAAAUGAAGGCAUAAUAUACCCAAACUUGUGGGACACAAUGAAAGCAGUGCUAAGAGGAAAACUCAUGGCUCUGAGAGCCUCCAAAAUGAAACCGGAGAGAGCAUACACUAACAGCUUGACAGCACACCCGAAAGCUCUAGAACAAAAAGAAGCAAAUACACCCAAGAGGAGUAGAAGGCAGGAAAUAAUCAAACUCAGGGCUGAAGUCAACCAAGUAGAAACCAAAAGAACUAUACAAAGAAUCAACAGAACCAGGAGUUGCUUCUUUGAGAAAAUCAACAAGAGAGAUAAACCCUUAGCCAGACUAACAAGAGGGCACAGAGAAUGUGUCCAAAUUAACAAAAGGGAGAAAAGGGAGACAUAACAGAAACUGAGGCAAUUCAAAAUAUUAUCAGAUCCUACUACAAAAGCUUAUACUCAACAAAUCUGGAAAAUCUGGAAGAAAUGGACAAUUUCUUAGACAGAUAUCAGGUACUAAAUUAAAUCAGGAUCAGAUAAACCAUCUAAACAGUCCCAUAACACCUAAAGAAAAGGAAGCAGUCAUUAAAAGUGUCCCAACCAAAAAAAGUCCAGGACCAGAUAGGUUUAGUGCAGAAUUCUAUCAGACCUUCAAAGAAGACCUAAUAAAAAUACUCUUCAAACUAGUCCACAAAAUAGAAACAAAAGAACACUACCCAAUUAGUUCUAUGAAGCCACAAUUACACUUAUACCUAAACCACAAAAAUACCCAACAAAGAAAGAAAACCAGACCAAUUUCCCUUAUGAAUAUUGAUGCAAAUAUACUCAAUAAGAUUCUCACAAACUGAAUCCAAGAACACAUCAAAACAAUCUUCUAUCAUGAUCAAGUAGGCUUCAUCCCAGGAAUGAAGGGUUCAAUAUACAGAAAUUCAUCAACAUAAUCCACUAUAUAAACAAACUCAAAGAAAAACCCACAUGAUCAUCUCAUUAGAUGCUGAGAAAGCAUUUGACAAUAUUCAACACCCCUUCAUGUUAAAAGCCUUAUAAAGAUCAGGAAUUCAAGGCCCAUACCUAAACAUAGUAAAAGCAAUAUACAGCAAACAGUAGCCAACAUCAAACUAAAUGGAGAGAAAUUUGAAACAAUCCCACUAAAAUCAGGAAUUAGAUAAUGGUGCCCACUCUCUCCCUACCUAUUCAAUAUAGUACUUGAAGUCCUAGCCAGAGCAAUUUGACAUGGCUUUGUCUAAUGGAAUGGACUUAACUAAUCAGAAUGGAAUUUUCUCCAAAGGGAACAUGCAUCUGACCAUUUAGUGGACCUUUGAGUUCUCUGCCCUUUAUACAUGAGGGACUUUAUACUCUUUCACCAGCCUGGCCUCCGACCAGUGGGAUACCUUGAGUAGAAGAAAUCAUAGAUUUGUUUUUAGAUUUUCAUAGUUUAAUCCCAUUCUCUUAAAUUGUCCUCUUUAGAAUAUUUCUACCGGCUACAGAGUGAACUAGCAUCUAUUUUCUCAUUAUAUCAAUGAGGCCUGGGGUAUACAUAUCAGUUCAUAGAAGUAUCUGUGUCAAAAACAAAUGAAAAAACCACAUGAAUGUCUUUGAUGAAAAUCAACUCAAUUUCUAGUCUAAUUCUUUUCAUCUGCCUGGGUGAGUGUCUUAGUCAGGGUUUUUAUUCCUGCACACACAUCAUAACCAAGAAGCAAGUUGGGGAGGAAAGGGUUUAUUCAGCUUACACUUUCAGGUUGCUGUUCAUCACCAAAGGAAGUCAGGACUGGAACACAAGCAGCUCAGGAAGCAGGAACUGAUGCAGAAGGGUUUUACUUACUGGCUUGCUUCCCCUGGCUUGCUCAGCUUGCUCUCUUAUUAUAGAACCCAAGACUACCUACCAGCCCAGGACAGCACGACCCACAACACUCACAAUGGGCUGGGUCCUCCCCCCUUGAUCACUAAUUGAGAAAAUGCCUUACAGCUGGGUCUCAUGAAGGCAUUUCCACAACUGAGGCUCCUUUUUCUGUGAUAACGCCAGCUUGUGUCAAGUUGAUACACAAAACUACGUAGUACAGUGAAAUAAUCCACUUUACCUCACUCAUUCCUAGAACAUCUCUGCCAAAAACAGUAAGUUAGUCUUGUUUCUUUCUUCCAGCCCCAGGCUCCCAGAAAUAAGACUCAGAUUUAAAAUGUAUUUACAAAUUCACUGGUCAUAUAGCUACACUCUUCUAUGACUAGAUCCUAACUUAUUAUAACUCAUUUAUUCUAAUAUACAUUCUGCCAUGUGAAUGUUACUUGUGCUCAAUGAUUGUACGUCCAUCUCCUCACAUGUUGAAUCUCCCAUACCUGGCUCCAUCCCAGAAUCCUUUCUGCCUUCCAGAGGUCCCACUUUUUAUUAUACCCUUUCCUAUAGGCCAUAGGUUUUGGUUUAAUUGACAGGUGAUGCAUCCAUAUAAUACACAAGAUAUUCUCUCUAUAAGGGGCAAGGAAAGCUAGACACUUAACUAGCAAACAUUUUAACAGUAAUGAGAACAAAUACUGUCAAAAAGUAAGCAAGUUGGGUACUGAGGUCAACUUUACACAGAUGUAAUGGGAAUUUGGAAGGGGGAAUGAAGUGAGGAACAGAGGAAGCUGAAAUACAAAGGGUAGGAAUCAGGAGUGUGGGUUACCAGUGGGCUCUGGCUCUUUGACCUAGGGAAGGCAGGCUCUUGUCACCUAAAUUAUAUUAGGAAAAGGGGCCCCAUCUUUAGACGUUUUCUGGAGAAGACAGCAAAUUCACUUGACAGCUUUGAGCUUCUAUUAAGUUGGACUUUGUGGUUCUGGUUUUGUUGUUGCUGUUUUUGUUGUUUUGUUUUGCUUUGUUUUUUGUCAGUGCUACAGCUCUUGUAGAAAAUACCUUGUGUUCCUUAUUUGGGCUGAACGAGGACUCCAUAAACCUUGGAAAAUGGGAAGGGGUUUUUCUUAGGGUGAAUUUUUAUUGGCUGAGGUUUAAGGUUCUGGAGAUACCUCAUUUGCAUGGAAAGGUGUUCCAGGAAGUUACAUGACAUUCCCCAGGGAGAGUGUAGGAGUUGGGCUCUUCAGAUAGGGUAGAGAAGAGGAAGCUCUGCUGAGAAAGAGUCCUCCAUUCAGUAUCAAGCUCAGGGAAACUACCCAGACAUGGUAGACUUUGACCUUAAAUAGCAAGGUCUCCCAACAGGAAUUUAAUGAGGUGAGCUAAAUCAUCAUGCUGAGAAUAUAGCUUUGAAUUAUUAGGAACUGUGGUAGUAUUAAGCUGUGUGUAUGUGUAUGCUAAGACUGAGAA